UCCUACGGGAGGCAGCAGUGGGGAAUAUUGCACAAUGGGGGAAACCCUGAUGCAGCGACGCCGCGUGAGCGAUGAAGUAUUUCGGUAUGUAAAGCUCUAUCAGCAGGGAAGAAAAUGACGGUACCUGACUAAGAAGCCCCGGCUAACUACGUGCCAGCAGCCGCGGUAAUACGUAGGGGGCAAGCGUUAUCCGGAUUUACUGGGUGUAAAGGGAGCGUAGACGGCAGAGCAAGUCCGGAGUGAAAGCCCGGGGCCCAACCCAGGGACUGCUCUGGAAACUGUUAAGCUGGCGUGCGGGAGGGGCG
rnacentral:rRNA from 1 species